CCUACGGGGGGCAGCAGUGGGGAAUAUUGCGCAAUGGGGGCAACCCUGACGCAGCAACGCCGCGUGAUUGAAGAAGGGCUUCGGGGUGUAAAGAUCUGUCAUCGGGGACGAAUUUUGACGGUACCCGAAGAAUAAGCUCCGGCUAACUACGUGCCAGCAGCCGCGGUAAUACGUAGGGGGCGAGCGUUAUCCGGAUUUACUGGGUGUAAAGGGAGUGUAGGCGGGCAGGCAAGCCAGAA
rnacentral:rRNA from 1 species